rnacentral:rRNA from 1 species
CGAAAGCCUGACGGAGCAACGCCGCGUGAGGGAUGAAGGCCUCUGGGCUGUAAACCUCUUUUCUCAAGGAAGAAGAUCUGACGGUACUUGAGGAAUAAGCCACGGCUAAUUCCGUGCCAGCAGCCGCGGUAAUACGGGAGUGGCAAGCGUUAUCCGGAAUUAUUGGGCGUAAAGCGUCCGCAGGCGGUCUUGUAAGUCUGUCGUUAAAGCGUGGAGCUUAACUCCAUUUAAGCGAUGGAAACUGCAAGACUAGAGUGUGGUAGGGGCAGAGGGAAUUCCCGGUGUAGCGGUGAAAUGCGUAGAUAUCGGGAAGAACACCAGUGGCGAAGGCGCUCUGCUGGGCCAUAACUGACGCUCAUGGACGAAAGCCAGGGGAGCG